AUGGUCAAGCGCAGCAGGGCAUACGGGGGAUGCCUAGGCGCUCGCGGGCGAGGAAGGGCGUAGUACGCUGCGAAAAGCUUCGGGGAGCCGCGUACAGGCGGAGAGCCGGAGA
rnacentral:rRNA from 1 species